UGCUACCAUGCAGUCGAGCGGGAUAUACCGGUUUAGUUUACUAAGCUGGUAAAUUCAGCGGCGGACGGGUGAGUAACGCGUGAGCAAUCUGCCUUGUACAGGGGGAUAACAGCCGGAAACGGCUGCUAAUACCGCAUAAGGCCACAGUACCGCAUGGUACAGGGGUCAAAGGAGAGAUCCGGUAUAAGAUGAGCUCGCGUUCCAUUAGCUGGUUGGUGAGGUAACGGCCCACCAAGGCAACGAUGGGUAGCCGGCCUGAGAGGGUGAACGGCCACAUUGGGACUGAGACACGGCCCAAACUCCUACGGGAGGCAGCAGUGGGGGAUAUUGCGCAAUGGGGGGAACCCUGACGCAGCAACGCCGCGUGAGUGAAGGAGGCCUUCGGGUCGUAAAACUCUGUGACAGGGGAAGAAGAAAGUGACGGUACCCUGAGAGGAAGCCCCGGCUAACUACGUGCCAGCAGCCGCGGUAACACGUAGGGGGCAAGCGUUGUCCGGAAUUACUGGGCGUAAAGGGUGCGUAGGCGGCCGAGCAAGUCCGAUGUGAAAGACCACGGCUAAACUGUGGGGGUGCAUAGGAAACUGUCCGGCUUGAGUGCAGGAGAGGAGAGUGGAAUUCCUAGUGUAGCGGUGAAAUGCGUAGAGAUUAGGAAGAACACCAGUGGCGAAGGCGACUUUCUGGACUGUAACUGACGCUGAGGCACGAAAGCGUGGGGAGCGAACAGGAUUAGAUACCCUGGUA
rnacentral:rRNA from 1 species